CCCAAGUACUCGCUGGCUUACUUUAAUGCAGGAAAUAUCUACUUUCACCACAGGCAGUUUUCCCAGGAAGAAAGUCUUGGCCUGGCUUGGAGUCUUUCCCUUGACUCAUUUCUGAGAACUGGGGGUGCAACCUUCUCUUCAGGAGUGAAUCCUCUUCAAACUCUUCACAGAAGGAUGUCAAUUCUGUCCCCCCUCCCCCCAACCUGUCCCAGGGAUGAGAUGGAUUUUACAUCUUGAACUAAUUACCUAAUUAAGAGGAAGCAAAGUUCAUGGAGUAUUGCCUAAAGGCCAGUGACUACUUCUCAAAAGCUUUAAAAUUUGAUCCAGAAAAUGAAUAUGUUCUCAUGAAUCGAGCUAUUACAAAUACAAUAUUAAAGAAAUAUGAAGAAGCAAAAGAAGAUUUUGCAAAUGUAAUUGAAAGCUGUCCCUUUUGGGCUGCAGUAUAUUUUAAUAGAGCACAUUUCUACUACUGCUUAAAGCAAUAUGAACUAGCUGAGGAAGACCUUAAUAAAGGUACACUUUUGGUAAUUAUUCUGGU
rnacentral:lncRNA from 1 species